rnacentral:rRNA from 1 species
AUUGAACGCUGGCGGCAUGCUUUACACAUGCAAGUCGAACGGCAGCGCGGGCUUCGGCCUGGCGGCGAGUGGCGAACGGGUGAGUAAUGCAUCGGAACGUGCCCAGUAGUGGGGGAUAGCCCGGCGAAAGCCGGAUUAAUACCGCAUACGACCUGAGGGUGAAAGCGGGGGACCGAAAGGCCUCGCGCUAUUGGGGCGGCCGAUGUCGGAUUAGCUAGUUGGUGGGGUAAAGGCUUACCAAGGCGACGAUCCGUAGCUGGUCUGAGAGGACGACCAGCCACACGGGGACUGAGACACGGCCCAGACUCCUACGGGAGGCAGCAGUGGGGAAUUUUGGACAAUGGGGGCAACCCUGAUCCAGCCAUGCCGCGUGCGGGAAGAAGGCCUUCGGGUUGUAAACCGCUUUUGUUCGGGAAGAAAUCCUCUGGGCUAAUACCCCGGGGGGAUGACGGUACCGGAAGAAUAAGCACCGGCUAACUACGUG